AUUUUAACUUAUUUACUUAUGUAUUUUUGAGAAAGCGAUAUAUUUGCUACAAUAUUUUUUUAAUUUUACAUUUAUUUCCACAGACUCCACAGAAUGGGAGUCACAUUUGUGUCAAUCAGACUCUUCAGGAACGUCCUGAUGUCCGUGAUGAGGACAGAGAUGCAACUGUGUCUGCAUCCAGGACCUACUGCCAGUCAUCUGGAUGUAGCUAAA